GUAUAAGAGACAGCAGUAGCCGCGGGAAUACAGAGGGUGCGAGCGUUAAUCGGAUUUACUGGGCGUAAAGCGUGCGUAGGCGGCUUCUUAAGUCGGAUGUGAAAUCCCUGAGCUUAACUUAGGAAUUGCAUUCGAUACUGGGAAGCUAGAGUAUGGGAGAGGAUGGUAGAAUUCCAGGUGUAGCGGUGAAAUGCGUAGAGAUCUGGAGGAAUACCGAUGGCGAAGGCAGCCAUCUGGCCUAAUACUGACGCUGAGGUACGAAAGCAUGGGGAGCAAACAGGAUUAGAUACCCGUGUAGUCCCUGUCUCUUAUAC
rnacentral:rRNA from 1 species